rnacentral:lncRNA from 1 species
UGUUGGGAAUUGAGCUGCCGACUAUCAACUAAUCACAAAUGGUAUUUCAGAGAAGAUUCUAUAUAAGUUUUCAUCUUGAAAUGUUUUAUCAUUUCAAACUAAGAAGUUUGGAUUUUAUCCUGAGAGCACAUAUAUGAUGACUGAGAAAAUUCUAGUUGUAAUAUGAAGACCAGAGUGAACAAAAUAAUGCUGAAGGUAUUGACACAAAUGCUACAAAGGACCAGAAGGACUCUAUAUAGCUCUCAAUACCUGAGGAAUUCCACCACAGCAAGAAGAUCCUAUUUAUAUAAUUCUGAAUCGAAAUGAGGAAAACCAGAUGAAGAUGCUAUAGCAGGACAAAGGAUAUCCAGUCUUUUAAAGUGUUAUUUUAGAAACAGGUACCAAAAUAUACAAUAAAUAAAAUUAAAGCCCCA